GGCGCGGCGAGCGGUCGGGUCGGCUCGCCGUACGGCGAAAUCAGCAGGCAGCAGUUCCGAGUCAUGUGUCAUAGCUCAGUCCACCUGUGGCUCCGGAGAGCACACAGUACUGCUCUGCUUUUCCUGGCCGUCCUGGGGCGCCUGUGACGUCCCGCCAAGACCUACGCGCACACUCCACCACAGCGCCGCUGCCGCGCCAUGCAGAGAACGUGCCACUCUUUUUAACCAGGUGAGCCCCAUGUUUCCAACCAACAAGACAAACGAAAGAGACUGCAGGCUACACAAGUACUACUAUUGGAUAUCUAGCAGGUGAUGAGCCCCAUGUUUCCAACCAACAAGACAAACGAAAGAGACUGCAGGCUACACAAGUACUACUAUUGGAUAUCUAGCAGAACACAAGAAGAGUCUCAAGGCUGCAGGAGUGCACUUAAACAGCGGGCGAUUUAUAAAUAGUUACGAAAAGUAGGUACUUAGUUCGAAAAGCUGCAGAACAAUGUUACGGGCUGUGACUCCAAUCUCAGGCGGUUGGUAAAGAACUUGUGCGGUGGUUUUCUAAUAGAAGGCAACUGAACUUUGGGACUAAAACUAAUUUAAAUAUUACACUUUUCUUAGUGAACAUAAUAAAAAUGACCUUGAUCCAGACAGCCUACGGACUGGGUCAGCUAGUAACUUCUUACCAAUCGCCUCAGUUAGGCCUCUCACUAAAGUCCAAGAAGCAGCGAGCAUGCAGGAGGGACCAAAAGUCAAUGAGUACAUUUUUCACUCGACGACUAUUUAAGGCACAUCACACACUACCUGAACCAGUACCUAAUAGUAAAAUGGCACCUGUCUUUUUGUAUAAUACCGGUUAUUACAUCUACCCGGGGCCCAGGGCACUCUUUGUACAGCAGUUUUCCGUUAUACUUAAUAUCUAAUAAUACAUAACCCUUCGUAUGCCUUUGUUAAACAUUUGCUACUGAUUUAAUAACCUACUGAUAUGACAAGGCAUACGAAAGGUUAAGAGGAAAUAGGACAACCGCUUCUUCAAACAAACGUAAUCCCCAUUUUGCUCUCAGGAUAUUGACAUUAUGGAAAAUUAUUUUUACAUAAUUUAAUUUAUACUUAUUAUUCUUAUUAACUAUUAUUACUUAGCUAUGCCUCUACGUAUGACAUUUUUCGAUUUAUUGGUUAAUAAGUAUAAGAAAAAGAAGCGAAAAACAAGUCCCCUAGGUAUUUUUUUUUAUGUUCCUAACACUUUUUUAAUAACAAAAUUUUUUUACACUUAAAAUACGUGAGUGACCCGUUUUUAAUAUAUUUAAUAUGUUCCUAAUACUUAUUAGGAACUAUAGGGGGCAGCACAGGAGCCGUCGCUAUAAAAAAAUAAAAAUAAUAACAAACAAAAAGUUCACCCUAGGUGGGAUGCGAACCCGGGGUCACAAUGCGUGUACACUUUAUGAAACCAUGCAUAAGGUCCAUCGAUGGAUAGUUAAGAGUAUUGCUGUUUGUACCUAAGCCGGUUUUCUGAAAGGAAAAACUCAGCGCAAAAAGUAAAAAAAAAAACGAAAAAGUUCACCGAUGGCGGGAAUAGAACCCAAGUCUCAAGCGAACACUUUGUCCUAAGUCAAACAUACCUAAGCUGCUUGCUAGAUUUAGACCAGACAUGCAAGUGUUAUAUUUUAAAUGUCCAACAGCUAUGAAAUUAUGAUUUUAAAAUAACACUUUGCAAGUCUUUGCUUUGAAAAACACUGCAGCGUUACCUUGGUCUUACUCUGCCACCCUAGUUAGUAAGCAUGCUAAAAGCAGUUUUUCGGAAUUAUUUGUCGAUUAAUGUCUAUAAGGAAAAAUUACGAAUUAUAAUAAUGUAAAAAAAAACCGCCCAAGUGCAUGUUAGUAUCGUGCACGAAGGGACUCCGUUACUCAAAAAAGGGAAAAAAUGACGUUUGUUGUAUGGGAGCCCCAUUUAAAUAUUUAUUAUAAUUUGUUUUUAGUAUUUGUUGUUAUAGCGGCAACAGAAAUACAUCAUCUGUGAAAAUUUCAACUGCCUAGCUAUCACGGUUCAUGAGGUACAGCCUGGUGACAGACAGACGAACAGACAGUCUCAGAUAACGGUUAAGUAUACUAUUCAGUUAUAAAUUACUGUGACAGAGACAUUGGGCGUUUCGUUCGCUACGGAGUGUGAACGAUUUGCAACUUGGCUAUGCACCCAGCUACCUCGCACAUCUCUGGUGGAAACGCAGCCUAAACCUGAGAUGUUAAGACAUCGCCUUGGUUACAUUUAUUUCGAAAAUUCAAUUCGCGAUAUCUUUUUUUCGGUACCUAUUAUUCUCAUUUAGACUUUUAGUUUCAUUUUUGUACUUCGUUAUUGAUACUUUUAGUUUUUUAAAUUUCUUGACAAUAAUAGGUAUUUAGACAUUUUAGACGUUAUUAUUUUAAGUCAUUUUUCCUUACGACAUUAGUCGCCUGAUUCGUUUUCCGUUCCACAUAAUAUCAGGACACCGUUAUGUUCGUUACCAAUAUACUUUUUAAGAGGAAAGACGACGAAAAAAUAUUAAGCAUUGAAUAUUAUCGGCAAUUCAAGGCAAAUAUUUUUUUUUAUAUUUAAAAUAUUGUUAAGAAUCUUCUGAUAUUUUGUAAACGAAAAAAAUAACGGAAAAAAAUAACAAACAAAAAGUUCACCCUAGGGAUUCGAACCCGGGGUCACAAUGCGUGUACACUUUAUGAAACCAUGGUUUCAACCUUAUUACAAAAAGCAUAAGGUCCACAGUUGGAUAGUUAAGAGUAUUGCUGUUUGUACCUAAGCCGAUACUGCUACCGGCAGACAGGUAGAAUAACGUUUUUCGAUUUUGUGAUUUUGGCUGUAGUAGACCCUCAGAUAUCAUUCGCGCGCCAAAAGGCUAGGUGUAAAUUACAUUACGACUAUUACGAGUAAUAAAAGCCCGAUAUAAGUCGGUCAUAAAAAAAA